AGCCCUGGCGCGGCAAUCAGCCACCGGCGCGGCAAUCAGCAACCGGCGCGGGACGCUGGUACUUGUAGUCCGUCCCGCGCGUGGCGCAGUGUGGCGGCGCGACCGUGAGACUACUUGUCCCGGCGUGCCCCGCGCCGCCGGCAGUCCGUGCGUCCCCGGCGCGCUCUGUCGCUGCCUGGCGCGGGGAGGUGAGCGGGGCCGCGGCUGUGGGGCCCGGGGUGGCGGCGGUGGUUCCGCUCGGGCAGCCGCUGGCCUGAGGCGCUCGCACCGUGCCGUUGCAGAUGAGCAGGGCGCGAGCGGACGAGGAGGAGUACUGGCACAGCUCCAAGUUCCGGGCCUUCACCUUCGACGACGAGGAUGACGAGCUCUCCCAGCUAAAGGAAUCCAAGCGGGCAGUGAAUAGCCUUCGGGAUAUUGUUGAUGAUGACGAUGACGACCUUGAGAGGGUCAGCUGGAGUGGAGAACCCGUGGGAAGUAUCUCCUGGUCAAUCAAAGAGACAGCCUCCAGCAGCACUAGCUCAUUGGAGGGCCGAGACUCCAGCCUACAGAAGGGCUCUUCCUCCUAUGUUGCUGCUUUGCCCAAGCAAGUUUCCUCCUACUCUCUGAGCAACCUAUUCAAAGGACGAAACAAGCUUCCAAGUUUCCAGUCCCUCUCAGAUGCCCUUUCUGACACGGGAGUGAAAAGCUACGCCCCAGAGCUGCGCAGACCAAAAGCUGAGUACAAGGAUUACAGCAAUGAUUGGAGCCCAAAAGAUACAGUCAGGCGAAUGCAGAGGGGCAAGGUCUGCUCUCUAGAGAGAUUUCGCUCCCUCCAGGACAAGCUGGUGCUCUUGGAUGAAGCUGUGGCAGGGCACGAUGGGAAUGUCAUUACAGCUGUCCUGAUAUUCCUGAAGCGGACACUGAGGAGAGAGAUCUUGUUUCGGGAGCUGGAGGUGCGGCAGGUGGCCUUAUGUCACCUGAUCCAUUUCCUCAAGGAGACGGGUGAGCAGAAGAUGCUGGUGGACCUGCUGAGGUUCCUGGACAGGACAGAGGAAGUCGCUCUGUCCCAGUACCGGGAGCAUUUGAACAUCCAGGAUGUAGAAAAAAAGAGGGAAUUUCUGAAAGGCUGCAUUGGGUUGCCGUUUUCGGCUGAGGAUACCUCCCACAUCCAAGACCAUUAUACCCUGUUGGAGAGACAGAUCAUCAUUGAGGCCAACGACCGACACUUGGAGACGGCUGGGCAGGCAGAGGUAUUUCGCAAAUAUCCUCGCAAGGCCUCAAUUCUCAACAUGCCACUAGUGACCACUCUCUUCUAUUCCUGUUUCUACCACUACACAGAGGCUGAGGGAACAUUCAGCAGCCCGAUCAACCUGAAGAAGACGUUUAAGAUUCCUGAUAAGCAGUAUGUGCUGACUGCCCUGGCUGCACGUGCCAAGCUGCGAGCCUGGGAUGAUGUGGAUGCCCUCUUCACCACCAAGAACUGGCUGGGCUAUACUAAGAAGAAGGCACCUAUUGGCUUCCACCGAGUAGUGGAGGUUUUGCAGAGGAACAAUGCUCCUGUGCAGGUGCUGCAGGAGUAUGUGCGGCUCGUGGAGGAUGUAGAGACGCGACUGAACCUCGCCACCAAGUACAAGUGCCACGAUGUUGCUAUUGAGCUAGGUGGUGGUUUUGCUGUUUGUCUAGACAUACAGGGAUCUAAAGGAUCGCAUCCAGCUGACAGCGUAUAAAUGCAAGGUGGAGCGAGGCUCUGCAGAAGAGGAGAAGAUAAACAGCAUCCUCAAUAACGCGCAAAUCCGAUGGAAGAACUGAGCACCUGUGAAGCAGCCUGCUUGGCCAUUGCCUUGCCAGUGAAAGAGGAAAUUGCAAAACCCAGUCCAGUGCCAACAGAGCGGUACUGUUACUACUUAUUGCAUGAUCAACGUUUGUCAGUGACAGUGGGUGCCCUUGGCUUGUGGGACAGUGGCAGUCAGGCUGGCUGAAGGCAGCUGCUCCAAUGUAGCCAGUGAAACCAUGGUCCCAAAUCCUCCCCCCAGGGUUGGUUCUUUUUGGAAUCUGGUUCUCUAUGACCUGGCUGUAAGCCAGGCAGCACUUUUGUUUACGGAGGAAAGUUGCUGGGCACAACAAGGUUGUGUUUGCUCCAGGUGGUGCCUAGGCUUGUCCUCGCAAGAGGAACAGGUCAGUCACACUCAUGGGUCUUUCCACCAGACAAUGCUGACCUGUCCCUGUAACACUCAAGCUGGCUUGAGUACUGCCUGUCAUGGCUGUGGCUGGAGUAAAGCCUCCUGAACUGUGUUCUUCCUGCAUCAAAGAGGGUCUUGAGGGAAAGGACCAACUGCACCUUAAAGCUCUUUCUUUUGUCAGUGUGUUCUGGCUCACCCUAGGAAAGAGGUGUUGCCUCUUUCCUAGGGCAACUGCUGCCAAGAGCCAGGACAGCACCCUCUGCCAGUAUUCUUGUGCUGGCACUCUGCAGCUCCUGGAAGAUCGCUUUAUCAGGGAAGAACACAGACCUAGUGUGGAGCUGGUCAGAGUCCUCCUGGGCUGGAUGGAAAGCAAGGAGGGACCCCUCUCUGCGCAAAACCAGCAGCUGGUCCCAGCAGCUCAUUUCUCUGAGAGUGUUUAUGCCAGGAGGGACUGAAUUGCACUUUCUUGGAAACACAACUCCUCAGGCAACGGCUGGCUUCAUCCUUCCAGACCUCACUUUGGUUCCUUAAAUAAAGCUGUCUCUUUCUUCUUGGGCUAUUUCCUUCCUUCCCUGA